GACGAACGCUGGCGGCGUGCUUAACACAUGCAAGUCGAACGGAAAGGCCCUGCUUUUGUGGGGUGCUCGAGCGGCGAACGGGUGAGUAACACGUGAGUAACCUGCCCUUGACUUUGGGAUAACUUCAGGAAACUGGGGCUAAUACCGGAUAGGAGCUCCUGCUGCAUGGUGGGGGUUGGAAAGUUUCGGCGGUUGGGGAUGGACUCGCGGCUUAUCAGCUUGUUGGUGGGGUAGUGGCUUACCAAGGCUUUGACGGGUAGCCGGCCUGAGAGGGUGACCGGCAACAUUGGGACUGAGAUACGGCCCAGACUCCUACGGGAGGCAGCAGUGGGGAAUAUUGCACAAUGGGCGGAAGCCUGAUGCAGCAACGCCGCGUGCGGGAUGACGGCCUUCGGGUUGUAAACCGCUUUCGCCUGUGACGAAGCGUGAGUGACGGUAAUGGGUAAAGAAGCACCGGCCAACUACGUG
rnacentral:rRNA from 1 species